rnacentral:tRNA from 1 species
AGGGGUGUGGGGCAGUGGCAGCCCGCGUGGCCUGGAACCACGAGGUCGUCGGUUCGAUUCCGACCAUCCCGA